rnacentral:tRNA from 1 species
AGGUUUAUGGUGUAAUGGAUAGCAUGCAAGGUUUCGACCCUUGUGGUAUGGGUUCGAAUCCUAUUAAACCUA